UNGUAGGUGGUUUGUUGCGUCGUCUGUGAAAUUCCGGGGCUUAACUUCGGGGUGNCAGGCGAUACGGGCAUAACUAGAGUGCUGUAGGGGAGACUGGAAUUCCUGGUGUAGCGGUGGAAUGCGCAGAUAUCAGGAGGANCACCGAUGGCGAAGGCAGGUCUCUGGGCAGUAACUGACGCUGAGGAGCGAAAGCAUGGGGAGCGAACAGGAUUAGAUACCCUGGUAGUCCAUGCUGUAAACGGUGGGCGUUAGGUGUGGGGACCGGUUUGGUUUCUGUGCCGUAGCUAACGCAUUAAGCGCCCCGCCUGGGGAGUACGGCCGCAAGGCUAAAACUCAAAGGAAUUGACGGGGGCCCGCACAAGCGGCGGAGCAUGUGGAUUAAUUCGACGCAACGCGAAGAACCUUACCUGGGUUUGACAUGCACCAGACGGUUGUAGAGAUACGUACCUCCCUUUGUGGUUGGUGUGCAGGUGGUGCAUGGUUGUCGUCAGCUCGUGUCGUGAGAUGUUGGGUUAAGUCCCGCAACGAGCGCAACCCUUGUCUUAUGUUGCCAGCACGUUUGGGUGGGGACUCAUGAGUGACUGCCGGGGUUAACUCGGAGGAAGGUGGGGAUGACGUCAAAUCAUCAUGCCCUUUAUGCCCAGGGCUUCACACAUGCUACAAUGGUUAGUACAACGCGCUGCGAGCCUGUGAGGGUGAGCGAAUCGCUGAAAGCUAAUCUCAGUUCGGAUUGGGGUCUGCAACUCGACCCCAUGAAGUCGGAGUCGCUAGUAAUCGCAGAUCAGCAAUGCUGCGGUGAAUACGUUCCCGGGCCUUGUACACACCGCCCGUCACGUCAUGAAAGUUGGUAACACCCGAAGCCCAUGGCCUAACCACCGUUUGGUGGG
rnacentral:rRNA from 1 species